AUGAGGGCAUUUCAUUUGUAUUUUCAGAGUACAUUUAUACUAGGGUUAAUCUCGCUGCCCCCUGUCUCUCACUGGUAAAUCUCAUUUCAUUCUGUAGGUCGACGACAGAGUCUUGGUGGUGACGACGAUGAAGUCUCAUGGUAUUGGCAUCGUUGAAGGCAUUGCUGCGACUGAUAAAAUUAUCCGGUUUAGCUGAAUAUAGGACUGGCGCGAGAUAAAGAGUUGGUAAAGCCUUUUUCGGAACCAGAAUUGGUAUUUCAAUAGAGGCUAAGAGCUCAGUAUCCUAUUCAAUAGGUUCAAAUGGCGGAAAGAAGAGAUCCGAAUAUUGCAGAUCCAAAUGAUCCUGUUGAUCCAAAUUCCGGACAUGUCCCAACUCCAAUGAUACUUAUAUUCCUACAGGGUGAAUACUGAUUAUGUAGGACUGACGCUCUUCGCCUUUUCUUUAAUUGGGGAAGCGAAAAUGUGGUUACAUGCUGAACCAUCACUCUCCAUCACUUCUUGGGAAGAUCUAGCUAGGAAGUUCCUUAUUCGAUUAUUUCCAUCCGGGAAGACUGGACGUUUGAGAAGCGAGAUCUUGAGUUUCAAACAGUAAGAAUGAGAGAAUCUCUACCAAGCUUGGGAGAGAUUUAAGAGUUUGCUUAGAAAUUGCCCUCACCAUCAUCAGUCUAAUGAUGUUUUUGUUCAUACUUUCAUUGAGGGGCUAGAGCCAAAUACUAAGAUUCUCUUGGAUUCAACAACAGGUGGGCAAGCUGUUGAGAAGACUUAUGAUGAAUUAUACACUGCUGAAUCGGAUUUCACAAGGGAACCAAAAUGGCAUGCUGACUCGAGGAAUGCUCCUAAGAAGGUUGCAGGUGUGUUAGAGGUAGAUCAGUCUAUUGCUCUAUCAGCUCAGCUUGCAUCAAUGCAGAAUUAGAUGCUUACUCAUGUUGUCAAGUUGGGGGUUCCGCAAGCAACAACAAUAGCUAAUGCAGUCUGACAGGUAAAUUCUUGGUGUGGGGUUGUUAGAAGUAGUGAACACGCGACAUAUUCUUGUGCGGUUAAUCUAGAUUCUGUUAAUUAUGCGGGGAAUGUGAAUCGUACAAGACAACAGAACUUUGGUAACACAUAUAAUCUCAACUGGAGGAAUCAUCUCAAUUUCUCAUGGGGUGGGAAAUCAGGCGUAAAAUAAUAAUCAGUAUAAGGGGCCAGUGCAAUAGAAUCAACAACAGGUUCAGAAUAAUUAGGCUACUACUCAAACAAGUAAUAUAGAGAAGAUGAUAAAGCAGCUUUUAGCUACUCAAGCGCAGUUUGCAACAGAUCUAAAGAGUUAAUAGUUGAUUACAAGAAAUGUGGAGUUGCAACUCGGUCAGGAAAUGUGGAGUUGCAACUCGGUCAGAUUGCUGGAGCGCAAAACACAAGACCUCAAAGUGGCUUACCUCGCAAUACAAAGGCGAAUCCAAAACAGGUAAAUGCAGUUAUAACAAGGAGUGGGUUGCAGUUAAAGAAGGCGGUACCUGAGCAGGUUUGUCCCACAGCCACUGACGAUGAUCCUAAAGCCAAUGUAGAGAAAGGGGUCAAAGAAAAAGCUGCAGGUGAUGAGAUUCAAAUGGAGAAGAAGGCUAUACCUUUACCCUUUCCUCAAAGGAAAAUGAAGCACCAAGAGGAGGACAGUUACAAGAAGUUUUUGGAUCUUCUAAAGCAGGUUCAUGUAAAUCUUCCUCUAAUUGAUAUUUUACAGAGUGUUCUAAAAUAUGCAAAAUACCUGAAGGAUAUAGUGGCAAACAAAAAUCAGUUGACAGAGUAUGCUAUAGUUGCACUUAUUGAAGAGUUCACAUCCAAGAUACAAAACAAACUGCCCAUAAAACUGAAGGAUUCAGGUAGUUUCACUUUGCAAAUCACUAUUGGGCAGACCAUCAGUGCUCGUGGAUUAUGUGACUUGGGGCUAGCAUAAAUCUUAUGCCCACAUCUUGGUAUCGAAAGAUGGGUCUUGGGAGUCCUAAACCCUCGACCAUUGUUUUGCAGUUGGCUGACAGGUCCCUUGCUAGGCCGGAUGGAAUUAUUGAAGAUGUUUUAGUACAAGUGGGAUCACUGAUCUUUCCAGUAGACUUUGUGAUUCUUGACUUUGAAGCUGAUCUGGUUGUUCCAUUUAUUUUGGGAUGCCCCUUCCUAGCAACAUGACAGUCACUAAUUGAUGUUGCAGCAGGGAAGAUGACAAUUAGAGCGUAUGAUAACGUGGAGGUUUUUGAUGUAUACAAGGCGCUGAAAUUACCGACUAUUUAUAAAGAAUUGUCUUCCAUAUCAAUUAUUGACCUUGCAUCUGAGCGGAAUCUGUUGUUGUCUGAUGAUCCACUAAAGCGAGAUUUGAUAGGUCAAGAUCUUUAUGGAGAUGUAGAGGUGCUGGAAUUGGCCCAAGUUAUGAAUUUAGCGGUGAUUGAAAUGAGAAAGUUGCCUUUUGAGCCAUUAAACAGGCCAAUUGGCCCAUAUCCCAAAGAUCCAAUUGAUUGUUCAGAUGCGCGGGCUCCUGAUCGUACUUAGCAGUUCAGAUAUUCAGCUGACAGAGUUAGUGGUUUAUCUGAUGUGCAAGUAAGAGAAACAAUGGUAGCCUUGAAAAGAAGAAAGAAGGCAAUUGGUUGGCAGAUGUCUGACAUUACAGGGAUAAAUCCAGUUCUUUUGCAUGCACAAGAUAUACAUGGAAGAAGGUUUCAAACCAAGGGUGUGGCAACAAUGUAGAUUGAAUCUGGUGAUGAAGGACGUGGUGCGAAAAGAGGUCAUCAAGUGGCUCGAUAAUGGGAUUGUUUAUCCAAUUUUAUACAAUAAGUGGGUAAGCCCAAUACACUGGGUCCCAAAGAAAGGUAGGAUAAUUGUGGUUAUCAAUGAAGCUAAUAAGAUGAUUGUCACUCGCAUGGUGACUAGAAGGAGAACUAAAUGAAGCCAUAAGAAAGGAUCACUAUCCUAUCCCAUUCAUUGAUCAAAUAUUGGAUAGACUGAUAGGGCAAGAGUACUACUGUUUUUAUGACGGAUACUCGGGAUAUAAUCAGAUCACUAUUAUAGUAGAGGACCAAGAAAAGACCACAUUUACUUGCCCAUAUGACACGUAUGCGUUCAGAAGUAUGCCUUUUGGCCUCUGCGAUACACCUGCAACGUUUCAGAGAUGCAUGAUGGCAAUUUUCUAUGACAUGGUUGAAGAAUUUAUUAAGGUAUUCAUGGAUGACUUCUUUGUUUAUGGUAAUUCUUUUGAUGUAUGCUUGCCGAAUCUAGAUCGAGUCCUAGCUUAUUGUGAAAAGGAAAAUCUAGUGCUGAAUUGGGAAAACUGCUAUUUUUUGGUCAAGGAAGGAAUAGUCCUUGGCCAUAAAGUGUCAUGUAGAGGAUUUGAAGUAGAUAGAGCCAAAAUUGGAGUGAUUGAAAAGCUUCCACAUCCGGUAACAAUGAAGGGGGUGCAAAGUUUCUUAGGUCAUGCAGGCUUAUACAGGCGGUUUAUUUAAGAUUCUUCCAAAAUUGCUAGCCUUAUGUGUAAAUUGUUAGAAAAUAAGCUAAAUUUGAUUUUGGGGCUGAUGUCAAGAAGCUUUCGAGAAGAUGAAGAAGAAACUGACUGAAGCACUUGGCUUGAUUUCUCCAGAUUGGGAGUUACCAUUUGAAUUGAUGUGUGACGCCAGUGACGUAGCUGUGGGAGUAGUUUUGGGGUAGAGAAAAGACAAAGUAUUUCAUUCUAUUUAUUACUCUAGUAAAGUCUUGAAUGAUGCCCAAGUAAAUUAAACAGUUACAGAAAAGGAGAUGUUAGCACUGGUUUAUGCAUUCGACAAAUUUAGAGCAUAUUUGGUGUGUAUCAAGGUAAUUGUUCACACUGACCAUGCCUCCAUAAAGUAUCUCUUUAACAAAAAGAAUGCAAAGCCUCGAUUGAUCAGGUGGAUUUUAUUACUGCAAAAAUUUGACCUAGAGGUUUGUGAUCCAAAAAGAGCAGAGAAUCAGGUUGUAGACAUUUGUCCAGAUUAGAGAAUUAUGACCAUAUUGCGGAUGAUUCAGAUGCAUUAAGGAAGAGUUUCUGAAUGAAAAAUUAUUGGCUUUGUGUGAGCUUCCGUGGUAUGCAGAUAUUGUGAACUUGUUAGUGUGUGUGGUUUAUCCUCCCGAAGCUACCACUCAACAAAAAAAAGAAAUUGCUACAUGAUUCUCGUAUCUAUAUUUGGGAUGAGCCAUAUCUGUUCAAUCAAGGUCCUGAUGGAAUUAUACACAGAUGUGUGGCAGAAGUUGAAUUCACACAAGUGCUGCAGAACUGUCAUUCAUCUCCUUAUAGUGGCCAUUAUGGGGGUGAAAGAACAACCAAAAAAGUUUUGCAAUCUGAUUUUUUUUGGCCAACAUUGUUCAGAGAUGCAGUGGAUUUCGUGAAGAGUUGUGAUCAGUGCCAGAGGUUAGGUGCAAUUUCAAGGCGUCAUGAGAUGCCCCUGAACAACAGUCUUGAAGUUGAAGUAUUCAAUGUUUGGGAGAUAGAUUUUAUGGGACUAUUCCCACCAUUUAAUGGCAAUUUAUAUAUCCUUGUGGCAGUUGAUACGUAUCUAAGUGGGUGGAAGCUGCAGCUUUCCCCAAUAAUGAUGCCAGAGUGGUAUUGAAAUUUAUGAAGAGGCAUAUAUUCUCCCGGUUUGGCACUCCCAGAGCUAUAAUCAGUGAUAGAGGUACACAUUUUAUUAACACUUGGUUUACAAAUCUUCUAGCUAAAUAUAGCGUUAGGCACAAGGUGACCACUGUGUAUCAUCCACAAAUAAGUGGUCAGGUAGAAGUAUCCAAUCGAGAGAUAAAGCAGAUUCUGUAAAACACUGUCAAUGGUCAGUGGGAAGAAUUGGGCCAAAAAGUUAGAUGAUGCACUUUGGGCUUAUUGGACAGCUUAUAAGACGCCUAUAGGUACCUCUCCAUAUCGCUUGGUUUAUGCUAAAUUCUGCCAUUUGCCUGUAGAGCUGGAACAUCAAGCUUAUUGGGCUGUGAAAAAUCUGAAUCUUGAUAUGAAGGCCAUGGGAGAGAAGAUAUUAUUACAGCUUGUUAAACUUGAUGAGUUUUGUCUCCACGCUUACGAGAAUGCCAAACUGUACAUAGAGAAGACAAAGAAAUGGCAUGAGAAACAUAUCCUUGAUAGAGUUUUUGAACUGGGACAACUUGUUUUGCUAUUCAAUGCGAGGUUGAAAUUAUUUCCGGGUAAGUUGCGAUCAAAGUGGUUUAGGCCUUUUGAGGUUGUGCAAAUGAGGACUCAUGGUGCAGUUGAAUUAUGGAAUAAAGAAAAGACUAAGAUGUUCUUCGUGAAUGGACAAUGUGUGAAGUAUUAUUGGGCUGAUCAUGGAGAUAAGCACAAUGUGUCCAUCACCUUUGCUGAUGAGUGACACCGAGCUGAGUCAUGUCACAAUGUAAACUAAGGCGCUACGUGGGAGGCAACCCACUAAUUUAAUGUAAUAGCGUAGUUCCUUUCUAUUUUUAGAUUUUUAGAAAAGAAAAAAGAAAGUGAAAAUACAAAAGAUGAGUUGUGCCACGACAAAAAAUAAGGGGAUGAGUGGGAGGCAACCCACUAGUUCUUACGAUUUUUUGUUUGUGUUUAGUAUGUAGGGGUGAGAGAAUUGAAAUUAAGGAUAAUACCAUGUCCAAGGAGGCAUUUAGGUUUACAAAAUGAUGUAUUUAAGUUUGGUACAACAUCAGGUAAGAAAGGGGUUGGAAAAUGCACUGAAAAUGCCGAUUUGCAGGUCACCGUAUUGUGGGGAGGUGACAAUCUAUGAUUUUCACUUUCUAUAACCUCACCGAAAUUCAACCGCAUCGCGGUAAUAGGUUAAAACACAAAAAAAUUGCCAAUUUAAGGGUCACCACGUCACGGUGAGGUCCUAAUCCACAAUUGUCACUUUCCAAAACCUCAUCGCGAUUCCACCGCAUCGCGGUGAGGGUCAAAUAUGGACCAAAUUUUUUAAGUUUGUCAGGUUUAACCCGACCCGACCCAGAUUCAAACACCCUUCUAUAAGUAUCCCCUUUCAAACCCUAAACUAUUUCAUCUCUUCACUCUAAGCGCUGCCCUUUAUUCCCCUCCUUUACUUUCAAUUUUUUUUCUCUACACUCAAGGAACGAUGGAUAGGAGACAACUAAUGCUCAAGGGGAAAGCUGGUACUUUUGAGCUAGCUAGGAAACGAAGCAAGCAACCUAAAAGGCAAAUAGGGUGCCCCGUGCCCCACCAGUCCCGCGUGGUCAGACACAAAGAUUUGCAUUUAAGGUAGUCAGACAAGCAGGCAAGAAGUGUUACACCAAACACCUCAACACAAAAUACAUAACUGAGGUGUUUGUUGAUAGAGCAAAUUUGCAACGGGAAUACCUAAGUAUGGUACGUCGUCUGGAACAGCUGAACAUGACUUUCCUUUUUCACCAGCUGACUGAGUGCAAUUUGCACCUUGUGCAUGAAUUUUAUGCCAAUUAGGACCCUCGGGAACCACAUCAUAAGGUGAAAGUUCAUGGAUAAGUGGUGCGAUUUAUAGAAGAAGCUAUAAAUAACUUUCUAGAGAUAUCUAAGGAAGAUGUAAAUCAGUUGAGGAAGAUGAUCAUCACUCCAAACUAUGCUUAUAUCAGACAUUUGCUUUGUGGUCCUCGUUCGGCUGCUAGGUGGACUAGACAGAGAGGCACGGGUCUUCACUCCUUCUUCCCAUAUGCACAUAUGAACAAGGAGGCCCGUAUGUGGGGACGCAUAGUGUACCAUUGCCUUAUUCAAGGUAAACAUAUGAUAGAGGUUACACGUGAUCGGGUGUGUUAGAUUUAUGCUCUAAUGUGCAAUGAUAUUGAAAUUAAUGUGGUCCAAGUGAUAUUUUCUACUAUGAAGAAGGCACGCUUCAUUGAGGGGCGCAGAUAUGGCUUUAGAGGUUUGUUGACUCGGUUUUUGAGGAGGCAUCGAGUAGAGUAGGAGGAGUUAGAAUAUAAGAUUGUGGUAGAUAGUCACCCUAUUGAUGUCACCACAACUAGAAGCACAGCUGGGGCUCAGGGGUCGAUUCAUACUAUCGCCGAGCAUCAAGCUCAAACUGAUGAAAUUACUAUAAAAAUAUAUGGAUUACAGAUGUUGCAUCUACGGUUGGGGGAAGUGCAUCCACAAAUGAAGAUAUUCGUGUUGUUAAGUUGCAUGACCCCCUUGGACAUCAUGCUAGGACAUUGCUAAGGAUUGGGCCGGAGUUCGCUAAUCCGGUAGAUGAUGAUGUACCUACAGAUGAAGAAAGGCAGUGGCAGGACUCAGAUAUAAAGUCUAAUGAUGAUGAACAGUCUAAAGAUGGUGAUGUAGAUUCUGAUGACGAAGUAGACAAUGACAGUGAUGAUGUUGAUGCUGCACAGGAUGCUAUGGCUGAUGCCUAGGUAGGGAGUAUUCAGCCACCUCACCAUUUGAGCUUAUUUUUUAAUCACUGGGACAGUGCUUUGUUUAAGUAUGGGGUGGUGUUUCACUUCUUCUUCUCUUCAUCUCUUUAUCUUGGUAUUUUGGUUUGUGUUGGUUGGACAAUUUUUAUUUUUAUUUUACAUUGGGGUACUUUUAUUUUUGUGGUUGGAUGUUAAAAUUAGUAUUUCUAACUAUUCAGAACACUAUGUCUGUAAUAGUUAGUAAGUUCAAAGUAUGGAUUGUUACAAUUUGCCCUUUUCGCA